GGGGUACUAUAUAAAUUGGACGGGGUAUAUUUAUAAAGAGCAUGGAUCAUAAGCAAACUGUAAUCGACUGGCUAGAAAAUUUGUAUCCUUUAGUAGUAUUAUUACUCUGACUUGAGUACAGCGAGGAUCCUGGUUCGAUUUAAAAUGACGCUUUGUAUUAAAGAAGCAGAUAAGAGGAUUCGCACAUUGAUGUAUAAAUCAUCCAUGUGGAACACUGUACUAUAAAAUGUACCCCAUUACAACUGAAGGAGGAGAGUCCCGAAUUUGGUUGACAA